GGUAAGAUGUUCUCAGAUGACAUAAUCA
rnacentral:sRNA from 1 species